UGACCUUCAGCUCUUCGAGGAUGGAGAC
rnacentral:piRNA from 1 species